UUCCAACCUUAUUUGCCGUUAUCAAACUUCAAAUCUCAAUCCAUUGUUCAAUAUCUAAGAUCGAAUAGUUACAGUUCUAUAAUGCAUGCUUAAUGGUGUUGCUUAGGAACAAUAAGAUUGAACUAAAAUACUUUGAAAAGCAAUAACAAAAGAGAUUGGGAUUGUGUAAAAUAUCCAGUUAGUCUUUAAUACCAUCACUAAAUCCCUUAUAGUAAAGUGUCGUCAAAUUCAUUUCUCUCAUCAUUUUCUUCAUAUUACCUUGUUCUUCUUCUAAAAAAGAAAAUUAAACAAAAGGUAGUUUCCUCAAAAAAAAAUUAAACAAAAGGUGGUAAAAUGGAACACAAAUAAAAUAAAAAUACUAAAUUAUCUAAAUAUAAGUUUAUUAUGAAUUUUGGGGUGUUUCGUAAAUCAUGAAAUUAAAAAGCAAGAUAUACAUUCAUUUUAAUUAAACAAAUUUAUGAAAAUAAAAGUGAUCAUACUAUACUUUGAAUUUGUGCAUAAAUACGUUUUGAAAAAUGUUAACGGGUGUUCCCGGGAUACUCUUUAAGACCUUUAAAUGGUAACUUUUAAAAGGUGUUUAAAUGGUAACUUUUUUAUAAUCCUUAAAGAGUGUUUCGGGAGUACUUGUUAACAAGAUCCGAACAUUUUCGCCCGUUCAUGCAUAUAAAUUUUUCGUGCUUCAAGGACAUUUUUCCUAUCAUGAAAGGUUAAAAAAAAUAUUAAAGUUGGUUAAAAAUUAUGAAUUCCUAUAAUUUACUUGAGAGACAUUUAGUAAUGAUUCUUAUUUUUGGAAGAGAUUUUUACCAAGUUAUAAGUGUGAUUUUUUUAAUUUUAUAUUAGGAGAUAGCUAGCUUUACACCUAUAAAAUGAUCAAAUCUUGUUCUAUUUGUUACAUAAAAAAAGUUGAAAAAGAUGGGUGCAAUUCUGAAAUUAGUCUCAGCUAUGUUUCUCUUUCUUUCCCUAUUUCAUGCUGCAAGAAACAUUGACGCAUUAUCUGGAUGUAUUACCAACGAAGAUUGUAUAAAGUAUCAGUGUAGUGCGGAAAAUUGUAUGGUGUGUAUUAAUUUCGCGUGCAAAUGUAAGUAUAGUGUAUUCUAAGAAAAUGAUAAUGAAAUGAAAUAAGAUAGCAAAAAAUAUUAUUUA